UACGAAGGGUGCAAGCGUUACUCGGAAUUACUGGGCGUAAAGCGUGCGUAGGUGGUUUGUUAAGUCUGUUGUGAAAGCCCCGGGCUCAACCUGGGAAUGGCAAUGGAUACUGGCAGGCUAGAGUGCGGUAGAGGGUAGUGGAAUUCCCGGUGUAGCGGUGAAAUGCGUAGAGAUCGGGGAGGAACACCAGUGGCGAAGGCGGCUACCUGGACCAGCACUGACACUGGAGGCACGAAAGCGUGGGGAGCAAACAGG
rnacentral:rRNA from 1 species